rnacentral:rRNA from 1 species
GACGAACGCUGGCGGCGUGCUUAACACAUGCAAGUCGAACGGAAAGGCCCUGCCUUUGUGGGGUGCUCGAGUGGCGAACGGGUGAGUAACACGUGAGUAACCUGCCCUUGACUUUGGGAUAACUUCAGGAAACUGGGGCUAAUACCGGAUAGGAGCUCCUGCUGCAUGGUGGGGGUUGGAAAGUUUCGGCGGUUGGGGAUGGACUCGCGGCUUAUCAGCUUGUUGGUGGGGUAGUGGCUUACCAAGGCUUUGACGGGUAGCCGGCCUGAGAGGGUGACCGGCCACAUUGGGACUGAGAUACGGCCCAGACUCCUACGGGAGGCAGCAGUGGGGAAUAUUGCACAAUGGGCGGAAGCCUGAUGCAGCAACGCCGCGUGCGGGAUGACGGCCUUCGGGUUGUAAACCGCUUUCGCCUGUGACGAAGCGUGAGUGACGGUGAUGGGUAAAGAAGCACCGGCUAACUACGUG